AUUGAACGCUGGUGGCAGGCUUAACACAUGCAAGUCGAACGGUAACAGGAAUUAGCUUGCUAAUUUGCUGACGAGUGGCGGACGGGUGAGUAAUGCUUGGGAAUCUGGCUUAUGGAGGGGGAUAACUACGGGAAACUGUAGCUAAUACCGCGUAAAAUCUUCGGAUUAAAGGGUGGGACUUUCGAGCCACCUGCCAUAAGAUGAGCCCAAGUGGGAUUAGGUAGUUGGUUAGGUAAAGGCUGACCAAGCCGACGAUCUCUAGCUGGUCUGAGAGGAUGACCAGCCACACUGGAACUGAGACACGGUCCAGACUCCUACGGGAGGCAGCAGUGGUGAAUAUUGCACAAUGGGGGGAACCCUGAUGCAGCCAUGCCGCGUGAAUGAAGAAGGCCUUCGGGUUGUAAAGUUCUUUCGGUGACGAGGAAGGUUGAUAGGUUAAUAGCCUAUCAAAUUGACGUUAAUCACAGAAGAAGCACCGGCUAACUCCGUG
rnacentral:rRNA from 1 species